rnacentral:tRNA from 1 species
UCUCUAUUAGUUCAACGGCAGAACGUUCGGCUGUUAACCGAAUGGUUGUUGGUUCGAAUCCAGCAUAGGGAG